AGCGAACGCUGGCGGCAGGCCUAACACAUGCAAGUCGAACGAAGCCUUCGGGCUUAGUGGCGGACGGGUGAGUAACACGUGGGAACGUACCUUUUGGUUCGGAACAACUCAGGGAAACUUGAGCUAAUACCGGAUGAGCCCUUAGGGGGAAAGAUUUAUCGCCGAGAGAGCGGCCCGCGUUAGAUUAGCUAGUUGGGGAGGUAAAGGCUCACCAAGGCAACGAUCUAUAGCUGGUCUGAGAGGAUGAUCAGCCACACUGGGACUGAGACACGGCCCAGACUCCUACGGGAGGCAGCAGUGGGGAAUCUUGCGCAAUGGGCGAAAGCCUGACGCAGCCAUGCCGCGUGAAUGAUGAAGGUCUUAGGAUUGUAAAAUUCUUUUACCAGGGACGAUAAUGACGGUACCUGGAGAAAAAGCCCCGGCUAACUUCGUGCCAGCCGCCGCCGUAACAC
rnacentral:rRNA from 1 species